CAUUCUACUGUUUAUUACACAUAUUACAUUCUUAAAUAAAAAUGCGUCACAUAACAUUUUUGCAUAGAUAUCUUACAAUAUACCAAUUUAAAAAAGAAUUAUGAAACAGACCAGUAACAAAAAUAAAUUUUUUCUUCAUUAAUAAUUUUGUAACAUUAACAUACCACCAUCAUAUAAUACAAAUAAUAGUUUUAAAUCUUAAGACUUUUGUACAGCAAAAAAACUUGACAAAGUAAUAUAUUUAUAUAUAUAUAUAAAAAGCUUAAAAAAAAUAAAAUGUCAAAAAAAGGCAUAACCGAGGGCUAUAAGACUGGGUACUUCUGUGAUAUAUUAUAAAUACCAGAGAAGGCCUGAGAGAAUGUGACAGGGAGGUGGGGGGAGGGGAGGCUCCAAAAACAUUAAACAUUUAGUUUGCCUUUGUGUUAGCAAGGAGAUCUUGGCCCUAACAGGUGUAUUUUUCCUCCCUGGGAUGAAGCAGAAGUGAGAUGGAAGAAAUCAAAUUGUCUGAGCUUGAGUGAGCAAAUGCAUGCUGGGAAGCAAAAAGGAAAAAAAAAAGGCUAAUGAGCCCCCAAAUCUUUAGGACCUCGGUUUACAGAAAUUAUUCUGCCUCUGGUCCCAAGGGCUAGGAUUGAAAUGUCCCCUAUCCCCACCCACUGCCCCUCCCCUGUAUGUGGAACUAACUCCCAGUGGUGUGGUUUUUAUAUACUGGCAUUAUAAGCAUCCAUCCCCCCGAAAGAGAUUAGGCACUGGUGGCUACCCCUCUUAUACCUCAGUAGCCUGUUUUCCUUCUGCGAAGGUACAGUAGGUAUGUAUGCACACCCAUGCAGGUGUGUGCACACACACCACCCUCAUUAUUCUGACGUGGGGUCCUUUGUAUGGCAGUAGACAGAAGCUGGGGUCAAAGCAAUUAUGAUUCCAAAACUCACAGUUGAAAAAAAUCGUAUAAACCGUCCCCAACCAAGAACACAUCAACCUUCCCUCAUGACCACAGAGAGGGAGCCCUGUUUGAAAAAAAGAGUAUCUUGUUUGGGAUAUUUGCUAAGUGACGGCUUUGAUCUUACUCCCGUUGUGGAUACCUGUUUCCCGAGGACUUACUGGAAAAUGCAGAACACCUGAAGAAUACAGUACUAUAUUGAAAGAUGCUCAUAAGAAAGUUAAUUGCAGCUUAGCCAUCCCCUUUCUGGGAUCUGUUAGAGGAACCAAGAGAGGAGAUUUAAGUGUUAAAAACAAGAAACCCUGAAGCUCAGGCAUUCGUCAUGAGACACCACAUUUCAUAGGAGCGGAUUUUGCUUCCUUUGACAUAUUCCUGUUGUCCAUCUCAAGUACUUCCAAAGAUCCUCAAAGAGAAACACAUGCCAUCAGGAAGGCAGCAAUGGACACUCAGGCUGGGCCCUCCGGUUCCAAAUUAAGCAUCACCAUGUUUCCCGAAAUGCAACCCAGACACUCAGAACCAGGUAUCCUCCUGCCCCAACUUCUGCCACUUCUAAAAUAAAAUUGAGGGAAAGUUUUCAUGAAUUUAUUUCAGCCAAGUCUUUCUUAAGUUCCACUUGGGCAAUAUUCUAGGUGCAAGAUUUCAGCCAGAUGUGAGGUCUUUUGUUUGUUUGUUUAAAGGGAGAGAAGGCAGACAGAUUUCUGGAGUCAAAUGGGUUGUUCAUGCUCUCUUCCUCUUUCCUUCUGAAGUAACACACGCAGAAGAGGAGAUAGAAGUAGUCCCCACUUUUACAUUAUGAAGUGAUUCCCACAGAGGAAAUCACUCAGAACCGUGAAAAAUAAUCACACUGAGGUUUGCAUUGGCAAACCAUUUCUUUGGGCUUUCCCAUGGGAUGCAGGAGUGGAGGCUGCAGGCAGGACAGUUCUGAAUGCUUGAGUUAGCCAACCCUCCCCCUCCCCCAUUUGUUUUCCCUUGGAUGCAAAUAGACACAGAUCAUUUGGAAGCAUAUCCCAAAUUCAAGUCCCUAAAUACACUCUUCUCUAAUUUCAAAGAGGAUUUAAAAAUAAAAAAUAAAUUAAAAAAAAAUUCCUAGGAAUCCAUCCUGCUCAUCAGACAUGAGGUUGGCUCUCUUUUUACCCUGUUAUCAUCAGGCGAUCAAAGAUGGAAAAGGGUAGAGGUGUGCGUGGGGAGGUGGUGGCAGGGAGAGUGGGGAGUGGUUGAAGGGCUUUGGGAAGGAAACUGGGACAGGGAAAUGGCCAGCAUGAAGGUCAUUGGGGGGGGGGGGUCUCCAAUAUUUUUACAAAAAUGCAGCUUUAACUUGGAAUCCAAACAUCUCUUUCUUUCUGGACAAAGUACUCAUCCGAAUAGGCAUGAGGUUGGGCCAGUAAGCUGACAGUGGGACAGGAGGCCAGGAGCAAAGAGCAGCAUUACAAUGUCGGUCCCCACAUCCCUGAAGGUCACGUGGAGGAGAAAGAGAAGUAACUUGAAGUAAAGAAAAUCACCAGUGGCUUAGAACCAUGUCUUCUACAUAGCCAACUCUGGGCCCUGGAUAGAACGCUCAAGAGGACAGCCUAUGCCACAUUUAUGCCAGGCUCGCCCUUUCAAAUCUGGGAUCCCCUUGGAAUGCUAGGAGGUAAUGUCUUAAAUUGUGAAAGGGAUUUCAUGUUUCAAAUAUCCAUGACACCAUUCUAGAUACCCAGUCCUCCUGGGAGCAAAGGACACGUUGAGGUUAUUUCUUGAUAAACCUGCUCCCUCCAGAGGCGUCAAGCAACCUCCUCUGCAGUUGAGGAAGAAUGGAGGAGGACGUGUCAUCAACCUAUUUCUAAAAUGUCCAAGGGAUGCCCGCCCCAAGCUAAGGACUGGCAGUCUUCCACAGGUCUUCACUGGGGCUAGAGAAGAACAGAUUCAAAGCCAUGCGCUUAGCACCCACCAAAUUCUCAGGCCAAUUCCCACAGCCAACAAAGGACUCUGAAGCAAGCAAGCACCAUCAUGGUAUCUCAGUGCGCCCUGCUCCAAGAGAGGUCAGGAGCAGAUCACAAAGACCUCACUGAUACAAAAGAGAAAUUACCAAACAUUUCAGACACCAAAGAGGACCAAGGGGCCUUUGUUCUGCCACAUUCAAAUGAAACCACAGAUGGCGAGAGGGACAAACAGCAAUGAUUACUCUUUUGCAUUUCUUUUUUUCUUUUCUUUUUUUUUCUUUUUCUUUUUUUUAUAGAGCCUUGCAUUGGUCAGUACAAAAAAAAUUAAAUUAAGUACUAUAAA
rnacentral:lncRNA from 1 species